UACGAAGGGGGCUAGCGUUGUUCGGAAUUACUGGGCGUAAAGGGCGCGUAGGCGGUGUGUCAAGUCAGGCGUGAAAGCCCCGGGCUCAACCUGGGAACUGCAUCUGUGACUGUAUAGCUAGAGUACGGUAGAGGGGGAUGGAAUUCCGCGUGUAGCAGUGAAAUGCGUAGAUAUGCGGAGGAACACCGAUGGCGAAGGCAAUCCCCUGGGCCUGCACUGACGCUCAUGCACGAAAGCGUGGGGAGCAAACAGG
rnacentral:rRNA from 1 species